UGAUUACUAAUCCAGUAUGUUGAGC
rnacentral:misc_RNA from 1 species